rnacentral:rRNA from 1 species
UGGGGAAUAUUGCACAAUGGGCGCAAGCCUGAUGUAGCCAUGCCGCGUGUAUGAAGAAGGCCUUCGGGUUGUAAAGUACUUUCAGCGGGGAGGAAGGCGAUAAGGUUAAUAACCUUGUCGAUUGACGUUACCCGCAGAAGAAGCACCGGCUAACUCCGUGCCAGCAGCCGCGGUAAUACGGAGGGUGCAAGCGUUAAUCGGAAUUACUGGGCGUAAAGCGCACGCAGGCGGUCUGUCAAGUCGGAUGUGAAAUCCCCGGGCUCAACCUGGGAACUGCAUUCGAAACUGGCAGGCUAGAGUCUUGUAGAGGGGGGUAGAAUUCCAGGUGUAGCGGUGAAAUGCGUAGAGAUCUGGAGGAAUACCGGUGGCGAAGGCGGCCCCCUGGACAAAGACUGACGCUCAGGUGCGAAAGCGUGGGGAGCAAACA